CGCUCUGAGGCUGUUGGAGAUUCGAGACUGAAAGUGGAUGCGAUAGACAACAGCUACAGACACGAUUGAAAAGUAGUACAUCUUUUCCAUUUUACAAUGUCUUGAGAACAGAAUGUCCUUGAAACUCUGUGAAGAGAAAGAGUGGAGGAGAGGAGGGUGUAUGAGAGAGAUGAACAGAUGCAAUCAAAGACUCUCAUUCACUUUGAGAAAAAGCUUCCAUUUGAUGUAUCACUCUGUCCAAUACAGUGCUUUAACUCCAGCUGAAUCUGUAAGGAUUACGACUGACACACAAGCACCCAACGCAGCGGGCCAUGUUCAGGAGAAGUGAAUCGCGGAUGAAAAAGGGAGGAUAAAACUGCCUUUUCCUCGCACUGUCAGGCACAGAGGGAGAAGAGAGGGAAGAGAGGGAAGAGGGGGAAUGGGACAGGACAGAAAUGCGUUCGUCGGGGGGGAGGGGAGGAGAGGUAGAAGGCAGGCGUACACUUAAGAGAGCAGGAGAUUCAUUUAGCCAGAAUGGGCUGUCAGAUGUAGCGUGGUUUUAACACAGGAGGGUAGAUGAGGAUAGCCUCCAUGUUGGAUCUCUUUGCUGUGUUUAGCACCACAAGUGGGAUUUUCCACCACUCCCUCUGUUUCACAGAUGCUGCAUUUGAGGAACAGUAGAGCACAGCAAAGGCAGAUAGAGGUAGAUAAACAGCUGUGCUUGGAGGUUGUGUGGGGAAAUGUAUUGGUAUCACUUGCUUUGAGCUACCUGUGUGUAAUGUGUUACAUACAGGUGGUUCACAGACAAUGCUACCACAAUUCUCCCUUUCUUGUUCAUAGAGAAUGAGUUAAAAUUGUG
rnacentral:lncRNA from 1 species